ensembl:lncRNA
CAGCAAAUACCGGAAAUCAGUUUUUGGCACAACACCGAGCGCUCACCGCCGCAUCAGUCGCUUAGUAGUUAUGUGACUUAUGCAAGCCAGAUCCUUUUAUCUAGCAAAAUUGUGAUUAAUAGCUACUGAAAUGUUAUUGUUGGCAUUUCAGUAACUAUUGAAACACGCACACACAUAAAAAAGAGGGAAAAAAACUUCAAUAAACGGCACUUGCCUGCUACACCGCCCUCUCCUCUCCACGCCUGCCCUUUGUGGGGCAAACGUCCUCAGCUCUCAUUUGAGGGGUGGUGCCGGUGGGGGACUCUUGAAGCACUUGACUUUCUGACCGGUGUUCAGAUAUGUUAGGCUCGCUGCUCGUCGUCGCUGUUUUUACCCGUUUGUCUGCAGAUGUCCAGCCUGUUUUAGGAAACUCCUUCACGUUUCCACAAAACUGCAAGAACGAUGAAGAAGGAAAAUUGCUCCGGGCUGAGCCCCAGGGGGAGGUGGAGGUGGCUGUUCACCAGCGCGGUGUGUGGGCACCCGCCCGGGGCUACCGACACCGGAUCCUUCAAAGCUCUUCCAUUUUGUUCAGGCGCAUAUUUUACAAUGACAGUGGAGUUUAUGUGCUAAGAUGCGGCAGCCGGGAGAUGCGCAUCCAGGUUAAAGUUCUAGUUCCUUUCAAUGUCACCGUGAAAGAGGGAGAAAAAGCGACACUGCCGUGUUACUUUCCAACUACCAGCAAGAAGACUGUCUCUGCACGAUGGGAGAUGAAUCAGCAAGUUGUGUUUGAGUGGAAUUCCUGCACAGAUAAAAGUAACGGCACUGCUGAUGGAAGACUCUCUGGAGACUUUUCCUUAAAACUGCGACAGGCGAGGAAGGAAGAUCAUGGAGAUUAUUUCUGCUAUAAACAAAAUGAAGACGGAGAGAAAGAGGGGGAUCCAUCUGUCGUGAGGCUGAAAGUAAAGAAGAGAGGCCGCGACCAGCAGCGCCGACGAAGAAAACGGGACAAUCGACGAGGACCCCGAGUAGCUGUCAGCAGAGGAGGAACUUUGGUCUGCCAGCCUGGACAAGCUUACUUUCCAGUCAGUCCUGUGGAGGACAUUUGGAUUCUCGGCCUUGUGGGCUGGAUGCUGGUGGAAGCACCCACCGCAGAUGCGUGGACCUUCCUGCUCCUGCGCUCAUUAGUUAAAUAUAUUUCUGGUAGCUGCAUAUUUUCAGCGUCUUAAAAACAUAUCUCUGAAUGUGUUUGAGGAUGCAGGAAAGGGAAUUGAUAUUAAUAUGUAUUUUAUUCUGUUCAUUUAAUCUUCAAGUUUGCAGUCUAAGGAGCUUGGAAAGAAAAGCGUCUGGGGGGGAUACUCCCACUGGGUUUAAAUCUGGGACUCUCCACCAUUUGACCUUAGAACUGAAGAAGCUUCUCGGAUUAGAGGUGAAACGUCUUCAAGCAACUUAAAGAAGUCCAGACGCUUUUCUUUCCAAACUCCUUAGACUACGAUGACCUGGAUGACUCAGAACCUUCAGACUUCAAGUUUGCAUUUCUGAAACAUUCUGUUAAUAAUCCUUUUGUUUAUUUUACAUUUUAUUCAACUGCAUGCGUAUUUAUACAGACUAUACUACACUAAAUAAACUAUUCAAUGAAUGUCUGAGUAAUGAAUUAUUACUAUAAUCAUUCAUAAUAAGUAUUCUUCAGUGUACAUGCAGUCCUUCUGUUAACACCAAUAUUUAGUCCCGCAG